rnacentral:rRNA from 1 species
CAAAAACAUCGCCUUUUGUCUAACUAUAAAAGGUCAAGCCUGCCCAGUGACAUUGUUCAACGGCCGCGGUAUUCUAACCGUGCGAAGGUAGCGUAAUCACUUGUUUUUUAAAUGAGGACUAGUAUGAAUGGCUUCACGAAGGCUAUACUGUCUCCCUUAUCCAAUCAGUUAAACUAAUCUUCCCGUGAAGAAGCGGGAAUAAACCUAUAAGACGAGAAGACCCUAUGGAGCUUUAAACACUUUUAAACAUUUGACAUUUAACAUUUCAACUUUCAGAAAACUUUACUAAACCAAUCGAUUUGUUUUAAGUUUUAGGUUGGGGUGACCACGGAGAACAACAAAACCUCCACGUAGAAAGAACCUUUCUCUAAGCAAAAAGCCACAUCUUUACGCAUCAAUAAUACUGACCUUAAUUGACCCA